rnacentral:rRNA from 1 species
CCUGGCGGCGUGCUUACACAUGCAAGUCGAACGAACCCUUCGGGUUAGUGGCGGACGGGUGAGUACGCGAUCUGCCCUCAGGAGGGGGACAACAGUUGGAAACGACUGCUAAUACCCCAUAUGCCGCGAGGUGAAAUGAAUUUCGCCUGAGGAUGAGCUCGCGUCUGAUUAGCUAGUUGGUGUAGGUAAUGGCUCACCAAGGCAUCGAUCAGUAGCUGGUCUGAGAGGAUGAUCAGCCACACUGGGACUGAGACACGGCCCAGACUCCUACGGGAGGCAGCAGUGGGGAAUUUUCCGCAAUGGGCGAAAGCCUGACGGAGCAACGCCGCGUGAGGGAUGAAGGCCUCUGGGCUGUAAACCUCUUUUAUCAAGGAAGAAGAUCUGACGGUACUUGAUGAAUAAGCCACGGCUAAUUCCGUGCCAGCAGCCGCGGUAAUACGGGAGUGGCAAGCGUUAUCCGGAAUUAUUGGGCGUAAAGCGUACCGCAGUGCGGACCUUCAAGUCUGC